rfam:Jatropha curcas cultivar GZQX0401 scaffold2177_2, whole genome shotgun sequence.
AGUAUUGAGUGUGAUUUCUGCCCAAUGUUGGCUGGUUAACGAAUUUUCUUAGUCAAAUAACACUAGGCUAGGUUUUGAAGGAACCCCCAAUCAAUGGCGGCCUUACCGAUGAGGGUCCUAAGGUAGCGGAAUACCCUGGCCGUUAAAUGCGGUCUUGCAUGAAUGAUUUAACGAUACAACAGCUGUCUCAAUGAUUGUCUCAGUGAAAUUGGAAUAACUGUGCAGAUACAGUUUACCUCUAGUUAGACGAGAAGACCCUAUGCAGCUUUACUGUUGCUAGUUAUUGAAUAUAAUAAGACAAGUUGUAGUAUAUAAGGUUAUUGAUAAAAUAGAAGUGAAAUACCUUUACUUAGUCUAUUAUAUUGUUGAAAUUAGGAUUAUUAUUGGUAGAUUUGAAGUUAAAACUUCAUACUUACUAUAGGUAGAUACUAUUAAGAAUCACCGUAAAGGAAGAGUUCUGGUUUGACUCAUAUAUGGAUAUUAAUUUAGAUGUGGUAGUUCCAUAUAACCUGAGUGACUGUUUUAGCUUCAGUGGAGAAAUCGGAAUCAUUGGAGGGGUACCACCUCGCCAUUUGCCUACGAUUUCUCGCCAUUGGCCUAAAUAAAACUUAAAAAAGAUUCAUCCUCUUUUUUAACUAAAAUAAGAGGUACCUCGUGGUAAACCAUCACGGAUAAAAAAGCAUUCCUAGGGGAAAAAGUGAUUAUGUAGGGUAGUACUUGAAGUAAUAUAUUUUAAUAUUCAAACGCUUAUCUUAAAGAUAAAUAGUUUUGUAGUUAUCUUAUAAUCUAGUAAGAAUAAUAUUGCAUUUAUUUAGGAAACAUUAGCUAGUGGACAGUUUAUGCGGGGCACAGAUCCCAUAAAAAGUACCUGGGUGUAUCCAAAGUUAAAAUUGUAAAUUCAUUAAAAUUUCUUAAUGAUUUUGUCUUGUUUUUAUUGUGUUUAUAACCAUUAAAUAUAAGACACUAUUUUUACUUUGUAAUAGAUUAUUUUAUGAUUUAUUCACUUAUAUUUCUAUUAAGUUAGAUUAAUUAUAUUUUUUUAAGUAAGGUUUUAACUAUAUGGAAAAUAGAUGUUUAACUUGUCUUUAUUAUCAAUUAAAGAUAAAAAAGAUGAUUUUUAAUAUUUACUGUUAAAGUUUAAUGGCUUAACCUUGCUUUACUGUUUGACUUACAUGUCUAUCAGUCGCGUAAGCGGGGCAUACGAUCACAAGAUGCAGAAAGGAAAGGUCUUGGAUUUUUGAAAAAAGCUACGCUAGGGAUAACAGGCUAAUUGCGCCAGAGAGUACAAAUUGAGUGCGCAGUUUGGCACCUCGAUGUCGGCUUAGCUCAUCCACAUGAAUGCAGGAAUCAUGAAGGGUACGACUGUUCGUCGGUUAAAGAGCUACACGAGCUGGGUUAAAUACGUCGUGAGACAGUAUGGUUUCUAUCUUCUAGAGGUAAUUAGAGUAGAAUAAGGAUAGCCCCUUCGUACGAAAGGAGUUGGGUAUGGUAACCUCUGGUUUAUUUGUUGUCUAUUUUAGGUAAGUUAAGUCCGUGUUAUAUCGUAUAAAACUUGUAAAAGGUUUUACGAUAAACCGGCACUAUAAUUAUUUUUAUCUUAAAUAUGUUUUUAUAGGCACAGCAAUAAAGCUACGUUAGUCAUAAAUAAGUGCUGAAUGCAUAUAGGCACGAAGUUUGUCUUGAGAUACUCUUAAAUAUACGUAAUACAAUAUUACGAAUCGCAAACUUGCGAUUGUAUAGGUUUUGGUUUAAAGGAUUUUAAUUUCUUCAGAUACAAAAUACUAAUUUUAUUAAAUACUAAAUUUU